rnacentral:rRNA from 1 species
CCUACGGGCGGCAGCAGUGAGGAAUAUUGGACAAUGGACGGAAGUCUGAACCAGCCAUGCCGCGUGCAGGAAGACGGCUCUAUGAGUUGAAAACUGCUUUUGUACAAGGGUAAACCUGAAUACGUGUAUUCAGCUGAAAGUACGGUACGAAUAAGGAUCGGCUAACUCCGUGCCAGCAGCCGCGGUAAUACGGAGGAUCCAAGCGUUAUACGGAUUUAUUGGGUUUAAAGGGUGAGUAGGCGGAUUGAUAAGUAAGAGGUGAAAUGUCCGAGCUCAACUCGGGAACUGCCUCUGAUACUGUUGAUCUAGAGAGUAGAUGCGGGAGGCGGAAUGUAUGGUGUAGCGGUGAAAUGCUUAGAGAU